rnacentral:rRNA from 1 species
UACGAAGGGUGCAAGCGUUAAUCGGAAUUACUGGGCGUAAAGAGCUCGUAGGUGGUUUGUCGCGUUGUUCGUGAAAACUCACAGCUCAACUGUGGGCGUGCGGGCGAUACGGGCAGACUAGAGUACUGCAGGGGAGACUGGAAUUCCUGGUGUAGCGGUGGAAUGCGCAGAUAUCAGGAGGAACACCGGUGGCGAAGGCGGGUCUCUGGGCAGUAACUGACGCUGAGGAGCGAAAGCGUGGGGAGCGAACAGG